ensembl:snRNA U6 U6 spliceosomal RNA
GUGCUCUCUUCAGAAGCACAUAUACUAAAAUUGAAAAGAUACAGAGAAGAUUAGCACGGCCCCUGUGCAAGGAUGACACACAAAUUCAUGUAUGGGUCCAUAUUAAG